AGAACGAACGCUGGUGGCAUGCCUAAUACAUGCAAGUCGAACGAGAAAGCCACUUCGGGGUGAGUAGAGUGGCGCACGGGUGAGUAACGCGUAGAUGACAUACCUAUUAGUGGGGGACAACCUCGGGAAACCGGGGCUAAUACCGCAUAUUCUGAAUGACAUUGAAAAAAUUCAGCAAAGGGGCUUCGGUCUCGCUAGUAGAUUGGCCUGCGUAGCAUUAGCUUGAUGGUGGGGUAAUGGCCUACCAUGGCUUCGAUGCUUAACUGGUCUGAGAGGAUGAUCAGUCACACUGGAACUGAGACACGGUCCAGACUCCUACGGGAGGCAGCAGUAGGGAAUAUUGCGCAAUGGGGGAAACCCUGACGCAGCAAUGCCACGUGAGUGAGGAAGGCCUUAGGGUUGUAAAGCUCUGUCCUAUAGGAAUAAUGGUUUGAGGUAAUGCUCAAAUUUGAAGGUACUAUAGAAGAAAGCACCGGCUAACUCCGUGCCAGCAGCCGCGGUAAUACGGAGGGUGCAAGCGUUGUUCGGAUUUACUGGGCGUAAAGCGCGCGCAGGCGGAUCAGCAAGUCAGAUGUGAAAUCUCGGGGCUUAACCUCGAAACUGCGUCUGAAACUGUUGAUCUAGAAUCUCAGAGAGGGUAGGGGAAUUUCACGUGUAGGGGUAAAAUCCGUAGAGAUGUGAAGGAACACCGGAGGCGAAGGCGCCUACCUGGAUGAGUAUUGACGCUGAGGCGCGAAAGCGUGGGGAGCAAACAGGAUUAGAUACCCUGGUAGUCCACGCCGUAAACGAUGAGUACUAGUUUUUGGGGGUAUUGACUCCUUCAGAGACGCAGCUAACGCAUUAAGUACUCCGCCUGGGAAGUACGGUCGCAAGACUAAAACUCAAAGGAAUUGACGGGGGCCCGCACAAGCGGUGGAUUAUGUGGUUUAAUUCGAAGCAACGCGCAGAACCUUACCUAGGUUUGAAAUCCUACGAAUCUGGUGUAAUGACCGGAGUGCUCGCAAGAGAAUGUAGUGACAGGUGCUGCAUGGCUGUCGUCAGCUCGUGUUGUGAAAUGUUGGGUUAAGUCUCGCAACGAGCGCAACCCCUAUCUUUAGUUGCCAGCAUUAAGUUGGGCACUCUAGAGAGACUGCCCGGGUUAACCGGGAGGAAGGUGGGGAUGACGUCAAGUCCUCAUGGCCCUUAUGCCUAGGGCUACACACGUAAUACAAUGGUACUAACAAAGGGACGCGAACUCGCGAGGGGGAGCAAAUCUCAAAAAUAGUAUCUCAGUCCGGAUUGGAGUCUGCAACUCGACUCCAUGAAGUUGGAAUCGCUAGUAAUCGUGGAUCAGCACGCCACGGUGAAUAGUUCCCGGGCCUUGUACACACCGCCCGUCACACCAUGGGAGUUGGUUCAAUCUUAAGACGUGACUCUAACUUCGGAGGAGAGCGUCUACGGU
rnacentral:rRNA from 1 species